rnacentral:rRNA from 1 species
AUUGAACGCUGGCGGCAGGCCUAACACAUGCAGGUCGAACGGUAACAGGAAACAGCUUGCUGUUUCGCUGACGAGUGGCGGACGGGUGAGUAAUGUCUGGGAAACUGCCUGAUGGAGGGGGAUAACUACUGGAAACGGUAGCUAAUACCGCAUAACGUCGCAAGACCAAAGAGGGGGACCUUCGGGCCUCUUGCCAUCGGAUGUGCCCAGAUGGGAUUAGCUAGUAGGUGGGGUAACGGCUCACCUAGGCGACGAUCCCUAGCUGGUCUGAGAGUGUGACCAGCAACGCAGGAACUCAACAACAGUCCAGACUCCAACGGGAGGCAGCGGUGUGGAAUGAUGGACAAUGGGCGCAAGUCUGAUGCAGCCAUGCGGCGUGUAGGAAGAAGGCCUUCGGGUUGUAAAGUACUUUCAGCGGGGAGGAAGGGAGUAAAGUUGAUACCUUUGCUCAUUGACGUUACCCGCAGAAUAAGCACCGGCUAACUCCGUGCCAGCAGCCGCAGUAA